GGAGAGCCUGCCAGACCAGAGGCAGGACCCUGGUGGGAUCUGAAGGGACAGAGCAGCCCCACCAGAGAGAGCAUCACCCAGAGAGACAGCCACUACCCUCAGCCUCCUUUGCCAACGGGGAUCACCCCCCCCCCACCCCCACUCCCCGGCGAGCCUGGCUCCUGGUCCCUCCCUGGCCCCUUCCCUGCAGCACCGUCCCUGGUCCCUGUCCCCAAGGUGGUGUCCAGCGGGCCAGGAGGCAAGAGCAGAGGCACAGCCGCCCUACCCACCAGCCAGCGCCCUGGGCACCACUGGGGCCUCCGGCCUGAAUCCUGGGGCGCUGCAGCCGGCGGCCAGAGCUGGGCCCUCCGUGUGCCAGCACCACACAUGUACAGAUGGGGCGGCGGAACAGGUCAGGAAAUGAAGAGUAAGGGAGCAUCGCGAUCCCACAAACACAAACCCAGCCCCCUGCCUGCCUCUCCCUGGGGAAACGGAUCCUGGUUCAUCUCACUCAGGGGCUUGGCAUCUGGCCCGGGGUCAGAAUUCCUCGCAGAAAAUCUAACGAAAGGAGAAAAGCACAUUUUCAAGCCCGAACAAGAAAGAUGCUUCCCGGAAGUUAUGAUGUCAUUGCAUCUGGGGGCACUGCGCUUUUGUGGUGAAGAAAAAGGAUGGAAAAGAACGUACCCUAUUAUUUUAUGAGAAGGGGAAACACAGGCCACAAAUCCCUGGUCGUCUUGGCCCUCGUCUACCACACCCUUCCCUAUCCCUGGCCACGUGGCUGCCCGGGAGGAACCCGCUGAUCCCCAGGACGCCAUGAAACACUUCCCUGACUCCCAGCUCGCUUACGGGUCCCUGGUGAUGCGAGGCCGCCGGCCUGUUCCACGGAGGGAAGGCGGUGUCUCCCCAUGUGUGGUCCUCAGGCCGUCUGCAUCAGAGUCCCUGGAAGCAGCUGGGCUCCCCUACAGCCAGAAUCUAGGGGAGGAACCCCCGGCACCCACAGUUCAGUAAAGGCCCCAGACGACUCCGGUGCAGACGGAUGCCGGAAUCUAUCUUAAGGGAAUAAUGAACGAGGCUGCAGGGAUGGAUGGACAAGGACACCGUAGUGCUAUUUAUGAUAAGCCUAAAUUGGAAGAGUUUUCUACAACGAAUGUUUUCCUAAUUAUGUUUGAAAACUUAGUCCACGAAGCCUCCUCGCCCCAUCGAGUGACACGGUCCUCCAUGCCGCAGCAGGUUGAUGCUGGCCUCAAGCUGUGGUUUGGGGCAGGUGGGGUGGCAGGUGGCCCUUUGUGGGCCAGGUUCGCAGAGGGUCACCGCAUCAUCGGUCCCCGCGGAGGGUCUGUGACCACAGAAAGGAAUUCCACCCAACCCAAACUCACGUCUCCCUAUCUCAGCAUCCUACCUGCCAGGUCCCCAAAUUACCCGCAGCCAGCCCCAUUCCGUAUGAAGGAAGUGCACCGGAAGGAAGGUUGCAGUUAAAUUACUUACUCUUGUAAAUUUUGCUCAAACCAAGGACUUUCCAAAAACAUUGCUAGAGGGGCUCCUGGGUGGCUCAGUCGGUUGAGCGUCUGACUUCAGCUCAGGUCAUGGUCUCAUGGUUCAU